CUGCCCUGCAGAGAGCCAAGGCGUCCUUCAGACAGGAAAUAGGAUCUUAGUGGGUGGCCGCCAAGAGCGCACAGACUUUGAAGCAGGAAAAGACAGUCUCUAGAGCAACAUGGAAAGGAUCCAGAAUCUAAAAUAUUCCUGGAAAUGGAGAGUCCUGACAUGAUGGCCCCAUGAUGAAAAGAACCCAGGUUCCUGAGUCACGACGUGGACAUGAGGCACCAAGGAGAAAACACGUGAACCUUAAUAAGUUUGGGAUCAAAUGGAGGUUCCCAUGAUUUUCUUUUUCCUCAUGGAAACAUGUUUGGUCAGAAGGGAAACAAACCAAUUAAGGUGAUACCAAAGGAUGAUCCUUGAUACAGUUGUAUUUUGGUGGAGCGUUGAGAUUCGCCAGUGAACUCUAACAGUGAGGAUGGCACUGGAAUAAAAAGAGAAGAAACAUGUACUAGAAGCCAAAAAACCUUGUCUUAUUUUCUUUGAAAAAAGGAUGCUCUAGCUAAUAAUAGCAAUAGGGUUUCCACAUGUGCUGUGCUGUUAUUGUUGCCUGCAACAAAAGAACAACUUUGAAUAAUGAACAGUCUAGCUUCACAGCAGGACACUGUUCUACAGGGAGGCCCUCAAUUAUGGUGUAUUUAAUAAUUAGAAAUAUGAGCAAGAAUUGACCUUCCAAGUUGCAUAUAUUAUUCGCUUUACCUGCUCAAUGUCACAGUGGGUGCCGUCAGGAAGACUGUGACUGAAAACCCUAAAGACUUUUCUGCCAAGUCCCAUAAAUAAUCUGUUUGCCAAAUGUGCCUGAGAUGUACAUGGCAUAUGCUUAGAUCCAUGUCGGAGUCUGGAUGUGGCUCGUGGCCUUGAGUUUACAGAGUAUUUGUACCUGUUUGUAGGGAAGGGACAUACUGCAAAUAUGGC
rnacentral:lncRNA from 1 species